GUGAAUCGUGCGGGGAAGGGCGCUCAGCUGGGACGCAACGGUGUGCGGCGAAAAGACUGGCAUGACUAUGAAGCAAUCAAAAGAGACGCAUCUCGAUCUGGUAACGGUGAACAGGGGAAGCCGUUCCCCCUGACUGAUGCUGACCGGGUCGAUCAAGCCUACAGAGAAAACGGCUUCAACAUUUACGUCAGCGACCGCAUCUCCCUGAACCGCUCUGUUCCUGACAUCCGCCAUCCAAACUGUAAACACAAGCUGUAUGCAGAGAAGCUGCCCAACACCACAAUCAUCAUCCCGUUCCACAACGAGGGCUGGUCGUCGCUGCUCAGGACGGUUCACAGCGUGCUGAAUCGCUCUCCCCCACAGCUCAUAGCCGAGAUCAUCCUGGUCGACGACUUCAGCGACAAAGGUACACAGCGCACACACGCU